rnacentral:rRNA from 1 species
UACACACCGCCCGUCACACCAUGGGAGUGGGUUGCACCAGAAGUAGGUAGGCUAACCGCAAGGAAGCCGCUUACCACGGUGUGGUUCAUGACUGGGGUG